rnacentral:rRNA from 1 species
CGUAGGGUGCGAGCGUUAAUCGGAAUUACUGGGCGUAAAGCGUGCGCAGGCGGUUUGUUAAGAUAGGCGUGAAAUCCCCGGGCUCAACCUGGGAACUGCGCUUAUGACUGGCAAGCUAGAGUACGGCAGAGGGGGGUGGAAUUCCACGUGUAGCAGUGAAAUGCGUAGGGAUGUGGAGGAACACCAAUGGCGAAGGCAGCCCCCCUGGGUCGAUACUGACGCUCAUGCACGAAAGCGUGGGUAGCAAACAGGAUUAGAUACCCUGGUAGUCCACGCCCUAAACGAUGUCAACUAGGUGUUGGGAGGGUAAAACCUUUUAGUACCGGAGCUAACGCGUGAAGUUGACCGCCUGGGGAGUACGGCCGCAAGGUUA